rnacentral:misc_RNA from 1 species
GAUGAAGAACGCAGCGAAAUGCGAUAAGUAAUGUGAAUUGCAGAAUUCAGUGAAUCAUCGAAUCUUUGAACGCACAUUGCGCCCGCCAGUAUUCUGGCGGGCAUGCCUGUUCGAGCGUCAUUACAACCCUCAGGCCCCCGGGCCUGGCGUUGGGGAUCGGCGGAGCCCCCCGUGGGCACACGCCGUCCCCCAAAUGCAGUGGCGGUCCCGCCGCAGCUUCCAUCGCGUAGUAGCUAACACCUCGCGACUGGAGAGCGGCGCGGCCACGCCGUAAAACACCCAACUCUUCUGAAGUUGACCUCGAAUCAGGUAGGAAUACCCGCUGAACUUAAGCAUAUCAAUAAGCGGGAGGA